rnacentral:rRNA from 1 species
GUGAGGAAUAUUGGUCAAUGGGCGGGAGCCUGAACCAGCCAAGUCGCGUGAAGGAAGAAGGAUCUAUGGUUCGUAAACUUCUUUUGCAGGGGAAUAAAGUGCAGGACGUGUCCUGUUUUGUAUGUACCCUGAGAAUAAGGAUCGGCUAACUCCGUUCCAGCAGCCGCGGUAAUACGGAGGAUCCGAGCGUUAUCCGGAUUUAUUGGGUUUAAAGGGUGCGUAGGUGGUUUGAUAAGUCAGCGGUGAAAGUUUGCAGCUUAACUGUAAAAAUGCCGUUGAAACUGUCGGACUUGAGUGUAAAUGAGGUAGGCGGAAUGCGUGGUGUAGCAGUGAAAUGCAUAGAUAUCACGCAGAACUCCGAUUGCGAAGGCAGCUUACUAAGCUACAACUGACACUGAAGCACGAAAGCGUGGGGAUCAAACAGGAUUAGAUACCCGGGUAGUCC